ensembl:snoRNA
UGCCUUUGUGUUGCCCGUUCAUUUUUCUGUAAUUGAACGUGGUGUCUACUAAGGCACACAUUAAUUCUUAAGGGGAUUUCAACCUGGAAAUGUAUGUAUUUUGCACUUCUGAAGCUCCUCAAGAACAUUG